CCUACGGGAGGCAGCAGUGAGGAAUAUUGGUCAAUGGCCGAAAGGCUGAACCAGCCAAGUCGCGUGAAGGAAGACGGAUCUAUGGUUUGUAAACUUCUUUUACAGGGGAAUAAAGGUAUCUACGUGUGGAUCUUUGCAUGUACCCUUUGAUUAAGCAUCGGCUAACUCCGUGCCAGCAGCCGCGGUAAUACGGAGGGUGCGAGCGUUAUCCGGAUUUAUUGGGUUUAAAGGGUGCGUAGGUUGGUGUUGAAGUCCGCGGUGAAAGUUUGUGGCUCAACCAUAAAAUUGCCGUUGAAACUGGACAGCUUGAGUGUAUGUGAGGUAAGCGGAAUGCGUGGUGUAGCGGUGAAAUGCAUAGAUAGCACGCAGAACUCCGAUUGCGAAGGCAGCUUACUAGGCCAUAACUGACACUGAGGCACGAAAGCGUGGGGAUCAAACAGGAUUAGAUACCCCAGUAGUC
rnacentral:rRNA from 1 species